rnacentral:rRNA from 1 species
CACGUAGUUAGCCGUGGCUUUCUCGUUAGGUACCGUCACGGUAACGCCAGUUACUGCGUUACUUGUUCUUCCCUAACAACAGAGCUUUACGACCCGAAGGCCUUCUUCGCUCACGCGGCGUUGCUCCGUCAGACUUUCGUCCAUUGCGGAAGAUUCCCUACUGCUGCCUCCCGUAGGAGUCUGGGCCGUGUCCCAGUCCCAGUGUGGCCGAUCACCCUCUCAGGUCGGCUACGCAUCGUCGCCUUGGUGAGCCGUUACCUCACCAACUAGCUAAUGCGCCGCGGGCCCAUCCUGUAGCGACAGCUUGCGCCGUCUUUCAACGAAACGUCAUGCGACAUUUCGUGUUAUCCGGUAUUAGCACCGAUUUCUCGGUGUUAUCCCCGUCUACAGGGCAGGUUGCCCACGUGUUACUCACCCGUCCGCCGCUAACGAUCAAAAGCAAGCUUUCGAUUCGUCCGCUCGACUUGCAUGUAUUAGGCACGCCGCCAGCGUUCGUCC